UACGUAGGGUCCGAGCGUUGUCCGGAAUUAUUGGGCGUAAAGGGCUCGUAGGCGGUUCGUCACGUCGGGAGUGAAAACUCGGGGCUUAACCCCGAGCCUGCUUCCGAUACGGGCAGACUAGAGGUAGGCAGGGGAGAGCGGAACUCCUGGUGUAGCGGUGGAAUGCGCAGAUAUCAGGAAGAACACCCGUGGCGAAGGCGGCCCACUGGGCCGGACCUGACGCUGAGGCGCGAAGGCGUGGGGAGCAAACGGG
rnacentral:rRNA from 1 species